rnacentral:rRNA from 1 species
AUUGAACGCUGGCGGCAGGCCUAACACAUGCAAGUCGAGCUAGCGGCGGACGGGUGAGUAAUGUAUGGGGACUGCCCGAUAGAGGGGGAUAACUACUGGAAACGGUGGCUAAUACCGCAUACUAUCGGAUAACCCAUAUGGGAUUAGCUAGUAGGUGGGGUAAAGGCUCACCUAGGCGACGAUCUCUAGCUGGUAUGAGAGGCUGAUCAGCCACACUGGGAUUGAGAGAAGGCCCAGACUCAGACGGAGGCAGCAGUGGGGAAUAUUGCACAAUGGGCGCAAGCCUGAUGCAGCGAUGCCGUGUGUAUGAAGAAGGCCUUAGGGUUGUAAAGUACUUUCAGCGGGGAGGCGUUCGCCGCAGAAGAAGCACCGGCUAACUCCGUGCCAGCAGCCGCGGUACUUC